UUACUUGAUAAGUCGCUGUGUAAGAAAAAAAAAGGAUUAAUUUAUGAUUUACAAAUUAUUUUAGAUCAAAGAUGAUUAAUUUUAUUCGUUUAGUUUUAAUAACAAUAUUUAAUGAAUGGUAUAAAAUUCAAAUAUGUACAAAUUUAAAACGGGUUAUAAAUAAUCUUCAAUCAAUUAACUCACAAAUCGACGAGUUAAUUAAAUAAAUAAUCGUGCAGAGAUAAAGUAUGCCUCCCAAUGAAUUUGAUUAAUUUUAAUUGUAAACAUUGUAAUUAAUAUAAUUUUUUAUCUUUAAUUAAAAAAAAUCCUCCCCAAUGCCUCUCACAUUACAUUAAUUUUAGUUUUGAGGUUUUAUUCAAAGUUUUUUUUUUUCCUUUUACAAUUAUUCAAAGUUGCUUAACUUCUAAAUUAUUAAUUAAAUUUUGUUAUCAUACUCUAAGGCAGAAAAUCCCACCUAAAGUAUAAUUUUUUUAACCUAAAGUAUAAUGAUUAUGUUUGCUUGUCAACAAUCAAUAACUUAAUCAAGUCGGAAACUUGGAACCGAUAGAUAUUGCAUUUGCAUAAAAAGAAAAGAGGUUUUUUUUUUUUUUUUUUUUUUUAAGGUAAAAUCCAUUAAGAGAGAGUAAACAUUGCAAGCACAAGUUAAAAGCUCAAGGUUCACCAAAUUAUUAAAAAAAAAAAAAAUUUAGCCCUAAUCAAGCAAAGGACCCCAAGACUCAAAAUCAAAACCCUAGAGCUAACAAGAGAACAGCAAAGAAAAAUUGGUAGAGUCAUCGUGCUGCCGAGUUUCAUUCGCCGUUUGGGAGAAGAUCAUCUAAGCUCUUGAAGAAGGAGCAUUAGCCCAAGCUUAAGAAGCCAUCAGCACUAAUAGAAACCAUUCUUCCAAAACCAGUAAAGGAACUCAAGAGCAAAACCACAAAUGAAUCCAUGAACUUAUGGAGAGAGUCAAUCGACAGAGCUCCAAACUUCAUCUUGACCUUAGAGGAUUAGGCAGCAUUAAAUCAUGUCAGUUAUGCAACCCUAAAAGUGUUGUCCUAAUUUUAAUUUUGAAAAUGAAUUAUAGUAUCACUCAACUAAAACUUAUUGGUUCUGUUGGUUUAAUUUUAAUUUGAAGUUUCAUACACUUACUAUUUUUUGAUUUAUGUGAAAAAAAAUUGAUGGGGUGUCAAUAUUUUAAAACCUUGUCUCAUCCAUUAUGUUGAUAUAGCCAUUAAUUUUUUUCAAAUUGUUGCACAGAAAAGCAAAGUAAAAUAUGCUUUUAGAAAUGAUUAAAGGUUAUUAUUUUAAAAUGAAUUUGAUAUAUUUUAAUUAUAAAAAUUCUAAAUAUUUAAAAAAUAUAUUUUCUAUAAAAAUAAUUUUCAAUCUUAAUUAAUACCGAAAAAAUUGAUGGUAUUUAAUUUUUUUGUUCCCCAAUUCUUUGUAGUAGUCCACAAGUGAAUGAUUGGGAAACAUAGAUGGUAUAUGUCUCUCUCACACAUCAAAGAUGGCUGUUAAAGUAGAUAAUGAAGAACUAUAGCACCAACAAGUCAAACCUAAGCAAUAAUGUCCGAAAUUCAUAUCCUCCUACUUUAGACUGUCCAAUUAAAAAAAAAACUUAGAUUUUUUUUUUUAAAGAACAAAGAAAAUUCAAAACCACCGUUGUAUCUGUAUCUCCAUAAAAUCAGAUUAGCAGAGAAAGAACACCAGCUAGCAUAUACGGCUUUGAGCUGAGAAAUCUCCUCUACAUAGAUAGGUUUCUCUGCAACAAAAAGAAGAUAUCGUAGAGGAAAGGAAGCAAUAAAAAUACAGAUUGAUCAGAUGCGACGAGUGGCGGUCGGCGGCCAGGUGAGUGUGUUCCAUGUUAUAUGCUGGUCAAGGGAGCAGUCUUUUUGCAGAUUAACCUUUCUUUCAUUGUCUGUUCGACCUGAAAUUAAUAUAUAUAGGUUUAGCACUCAGAAAAAAAAAAGGAAAACCCUAGCUAGAGCACCUAAUAAAACCUUAUCUUAAUCAGUUUUGAUUAAUUACUUUGAGUGUCCAUGAUCCGACUUCCUCUAAUUACAUCCAAAAAAUUACCAUCGUUUUGAGAAAAAGCAAAUAUAUAUGUAAGUUUCUGUGCAGCUGUAGCGAUUGGUCUUGCUCUAUCUAUACACAUUAUUUAGUUAUUCGGAUAACCAAUCUAUGCAUGAUUUGAUUUCUUUCUCUAUAUUGAAAGAUUUUUGUACACUAAUGCAUUCGAUUCUUAAUUUCUUCUAUGUAUCGACAUGUGUGUGUGCCAUCUAUCUGCAUAAGCCACUUGGAAUGUUUGUGUUGAAGGUUUAUUGAGUUGGGUUUCGAUAGAAUAUCCAUGCUGUGUUGGUCCCUGUUCAAAUCAAGUUUAGUUAUUUUUGUACAAAAAUAGGCUUAGGGCUAUGUGAUAUCCGUGCAUGUGAAAUACAAACGUAGAUAUAUUUUAAGGUCGAAUAGACAGUGGACGCUAGGUAUUGGCUAAGAGACUGCUCAUUUGACAAGGCUAUUUGCAUGGAAUUCGACUUCCCAAGGAUCCUUCCAUCGCUCUUGUUUUUGUCAGACUUGAACAAGAAGAGAAGGUAAGAAACACGUCAACUUUUCAGUGGGAAAAUACUAGGUUGCAAAACUCCAGGAAUAUAUGAAUACAUUGAGGAUCUCUCUCUCUCUCUCUCUCUCUCUCAUGAUCUUGAUUCUUGAUGCAAAAAUUUCUUCUCUCUAGCCUUCUAGAGAGAGUUUAUUUUUUAUUUAUUUAUUUAUUUUUUCAUGUCUUUCGUUUUUCUUGAGGACACAGGCCCCUUCUCUCGGCUGUCAUGUGGAGAGGGCUCCUUGAGUUUCUUGUGAUGUGGGUCUGUCGGCUGGAGCAACCAUAUUUCAACAUGGCUUUGUUCUUUUCGCGGACCGUUUGAGUUAAGGCUUGGUGGGAAGGUGAUGGGCAUAUGGGUCCGCCGCAUUGAUAUAUCAUUGGCCGAUCGAAGGAAAUAACGUAUAAACUUAAGGAUAUUAUUUAAACUUAAAUAGAUUAGUUUUAGUUCGAAUCAUUCGAAUUAUUAAUCAGGUUAAUUUUCAAAUUUUAUAUAAAAAUGGAAUGAAAUAUAAAUCAAUUAAUUGUGUUAAAAUUGUGGAUUCUAUGUAAAAUAGAACAAUUCCAAUUCUCCACAGAAGAUAAACUCUUCAUGUAUUAUAAUUCAUGUAUUAUAACACAGCAGCAUUGACCCCUUCACGUAUGAUUUAAAUACCAGGAUCACAAGUAAUUAGUCAUGCUGGGCCAUAAUCAAAAGCGUGCUCAGAGCACUGUGCUCUGAAUUAGGUCUCUAUGUGGACAGAUGAACUUUGAAGAGAGUGGCUGUGUGACCAUUGCUCGUGCAAACUCAGGGGUAGGUGGGGUGAAAUACUUUUUUUUUUUCCUUAAUUGUGCAAUCAGUUGUAUUUUUUGUCCCCUCGAGACAAAAUUCAGUUUUUUAUUAUUUUCUUUUGAAAUUUUUUGACUGAAAAUAGUGAAUGACUGUGAACAAAGUUUAGGGUUUGAAAUUGGGAUAAAUCAAUUUGAUUUGAUUCUCAUUACUAUAUAUUCUUUACUGAUUUUUUCGAUUGACUAAUGUGAGACUCCAAUUUUUUUUUUUUAAUGAGGCAUUGGCAUUUAUACAAAUUAAUAAAAAU